GAGCGAACASAAAAGGAGCUUGCUCCUUUGACGUUAGCGGCGGACGGGUGAGUAACACGUGGGCAACCUACCCUAUAGUUUGGGAUAACUCCSGGAAACCGGGGCUWAUACCSAAUAAUCUCUUUUGCUUCAUGGKGAAAGACUGAAAGACSGYUUCSGCUGUCRCUAUASGAUGGGCCCGCGGCGCAUUAGCUAGUUGGUGAGGUAACGGCUCACCAAGGCGACGAUGCGUAGCCGACCUGASAGGGUGAUCGGCCACACUGGGACUGASACACGGCCCAGACUCCUACGGGAGGCAGCAKUAGGGAAUCUUCCACAAUGGGCGAAAGCCUGAUGGAGCAACGCCGCGUGAGUGAAGAAGGUUUUCGGAUCKUAAAACUCUGUUGUAAGGGAAGAACAAGUACAGUAGUAACUGGCUGUACCUUGACGGUACCUUAUUAGAAAGCCACGGCUAACUACGUGCCAGCAGCCGCGGUAAUACGUAGGUGGCAAGCGUUGUCCGGAAUUAUUGGGCGUAAAGCGCGCGCAGGCGGUCCUUUAAGUCUGAUGUGAAAGCCCACGGCUCAACCGUGGAGGGUCAUUGGAAACUGGGGGACUUGARUGCAGAAGARGAAAGUGGAAUUCCAAGUGUAGCGGUGAAAUGCGUAGAGAUUUGGAGGAACACCAGUGGCGAASGCGACUUUCUGGUCUGUAACUGACGCUGAGGCGCGAAAGCGUGGGGAGCAAACAGGAUUAGAUACCCUGGUASUCCACGCCG
rnacentral:rRNA from 1 species